UACAGAGGGGGCAAGCGUUGUUCGGAAUUACUGGGCGUAAAGGGCGCGUAGGCGGCCGACUAAGUCAGACGUGAAAUCCCCUGGCUCAACCAGGGAACUGCGUCUGAUACUGGACGGCUUGAGUUCGGGAGAGGGAAGUGGAAUUCCAGGUGUAGCGGUGAAAUGCGUAGAUAUCUGGAGGAACACCGGUGGCGAAGGCGGCUUCCUGGACCGACACUGACGCUGAGGCGCGAAAGCCAGGGGAGCAAACGGG
rnacentral:rRNA from 1 species